CAGGGCCUACGGGACGCAGCAGUGGGGGAUAUUGCACAAUGGGGGGAACCCUGAUGCAGCGACGCCGCGUGAGUGAAGAAGUAUUUCGGUAUGUAAAGCUCUAUCGGCAGGGAAGAAAAAAAUGACAGUACCUGACUAAGAAGCCCCGGCUAACUACGUGCCAGCAGCCGCGGUAAUACGUAGGGGGCAAGCGUUAUCCGGAUUUACUGGGUGUAAAGGGAGCGUAGACGGCUGUGCAAGUCUGAAGUGAAAGCCCGUGGCUCAACCGCGGGACUGCUUUGGAAACUGUAUAGCUUGAGUACUGG
rnacentral:rRNA from 1 species